CAAUUAUUUUUAAAAUUGCUGUAAUAUUCAUUUCCUGGUACACCAUUAAAUUUGUCAUGUCCUGGAGAACAAAAUGAUAUAUAAAGUUGCAUGUAGUUGCCAGGGUUGUUCCAAAAAAAAGGAAAUAUAAAAUGGAUUCUUACUUUAAACUUAAAAAAAAAAACAGUUUUGUCACCUUUUAAACGCUAUUCCCAAAAAACACCUUGGAACAUCUGCAAGCCUUAAAACUGGGAAUCAAAAUAAAACAAACAUCAUGCACAAAGGAAAGAACAUUUCAAAUACCUUGUCUAAUAAGAAUUAUUACACAUCAAAUUUUUGUCACCGAAAAUCAUUUUUGCUUUUUUUUUUUUUUUUUUAGUAUAAAUGGCUAUCAAAGUGACAUAAAUCUAUAAGGUAA